rnacentral:tRNA from 1 species
CAAAAUGUAGCUUAACAAAGCCCCCCGCUUACACCGGGAAGUUAUCUGUUAAAUCCAGAUCAUUUUGA